rnacentral:misc_RNA from 1 species
GAUGAAGAACGCAGCGAAAUGCGAUAAGUAAUGUGAAUUGCAGAAUUCAGUGAAUCAUCGAAUCUUUGAACGCACCUUGCGCCCUUUGGACAUUCCGAAGGGCAUGCCUGUUUGAGUAUCAUGAACACCUCAACUCUCACGGCUUGUCCGUGAUGAGCUUGGACUUUGGGGGUCUUGCCGGCCUGUGGUCGGCUCCUCUCAAAUGGAUCAGCUUGCCAGUGUUUGGUGGCAUCACAGGUGUGAUAACUAUCUGCGCUUGUGGUUUUCCAUCAGAUAACCUUCAGUGAUAUGGAGGUUCGCUGGAGCUCACAAAUGUCUCUCCUUAGUGAGGACAGCUCUUUGAACGUUCGAUCUCAAAUCAGGUAGGACUACCCGCUGAACUUAAGCAUAUCAAUAAGCGGAGGA